CUGCAGAUCAAGUUUAUAUAUGGUCAGCAAUAUAGAAUGUUUGCCAUGUUGCAUUCCGUGUUGUCUUGCAUUGUUCAUACAUAAACUUGGUCGAACCAUGGAUCAUGUAAAAACGCCAUGGUCGUGCGCAGCUAAUUAACAUAAGUGGCGCGCGCGUGCUGCUGUAAUGCGGAGUACAGUCAGUGAGUGUACUCCAUGUGCAAAUAGUGACGUGUGUUCUAUAGUCUUGACUUGAAAAAUAAAUUAAGGUGCAUGUUGACUGAUUAGAAUUAAGUGCGCAACGUUUCAUGCAUAUAAAAAUUAAACGCGCUAUAAGGUGCAUGCUUAGUAAAAUUAAGGGCAUGAAAACCAGUGCAUGAAAACUAGUGCAUGCUAAUAUAUAUUGAAUGCAUGCGUUGCAAUUUUCUUGCGCGCAAUAAAAGCAAAAUGCGCCGCAAAAAUCUAAAUAUAGAAAUGCACACAUCACAUCUUCAAAAUGCAUCCAAGUGUCCUAACAGCUUUUACGAACUAUCCUAAAAUAUGUUGGGCCAUUGGAUUCAUUUGCCACGCACCUUGUCCUGAACAUAUCUAAAAUAUUUUCAGGUUUCAAGGUUAAGACAAAUAUACCCUAAUGUGGAACAAUUUGUUCAUAAAGAGAUAUAUUUGUCUUGCGCAAUCUGUAGACUGAAUUUUCGGGCGGUCUACAAUUUUUUUUUGAAUACCUCGUGAAAUUUUUUUUUUGAUUUUGAUUUUUCUUGCAAGAUUUUUUACUUUUUUUUAUAUUGGUAGGUAUUGGUAGGUAUUGGUAGGUAUGGUAUAUAUUGUAGUUAAUUCGGUCGCACAGGGUUGCCCCCGGGGUUUUCGGAAUCCGGAC